GGCACCAGAUGUCUUCAAUAUUGAACCUUUUCACAAUAUUCAAAUUUUCUGAGAUACUGAAUUUGGGGUUUUCAUUAGUUGUCAGUUAUGAUCAUCAAAAUUAAAAGAAAUAAACACUUGAAAUAUAUCAGUCUGUGUGGAAUGAAUGUAUACAUUAUACAAGUUUCACUUUUUGAAUGGAAUUACUGAAAUAAAUAUUAUUUUUGAUGAUUUUCUAAUUUUAUGACCAGCACCUGUAUUGUCAAAUAGUGUCCUUAGCCAUUGUUGCAUUUCACCUGAAGUUGUUUUGUGCACAGGCCAGGAAACACCACAAAUGGCCAAACUAUGGCCAAUCUCCAGAGACGAGCACCACCGCAGCCCCCGCCACAUCCGCCACUGCCGCACACCUUUCAUCUGUUGCCUCAGCGCCCAGAUGCACAGAAUGCACUACUCCACUCCGCUCGGACACCCUUUCAGAAGCAGGGUCCAGGUGUUCCAAGACCCAUCCCAACCAGGCAGAAGCCCUAACAGAAACGAGGAGUGGUCAGGAAAUCAGUGGGGGUCAAUUUCAUCCACCGAGGUGUGGUGCAGUCAGUCCGCAGGGCAAGAAAGCGGUUAGCAGGAUAUUGAUGUUGGUUUUAUCUAUGGACUUUAAACACAAGGGUGUUUCCCUUUAUAUAUUUUUGCAAAUGUGUCUAUUCACAACGUAUGUUUAUUUUUUUCAUCCAAAGCACUGUGGUCAUGAUUGCGUACAUUCUGGGUUAAGCACAGAGCUGGCAUCAAGCCCACUACCUUAUAGCUAUAAGCCAUGCUCUACCAACAGAGCCACAUGACACUUAUCUGAACUGUACAUCUCAUUCAAAUAUAUUCAGUGUAACCUUUAUUUUAUUAAACAAGGGUAACUUGGUGACAGACUUUUUUCUUUAAUCCAUUUUAACAAAAGUGAAAACACUAAUGAGAAAUGCAUAAUGUGAAUACAGUUAAGUUAAUGUAAGUUAACUUACGUUAAUGUUAUGUCAUUGUACAAAUGUUUUAUAAGCACUUGUUAUAAUGUAUUUCUAAACUAUGUAAAUGUGGAAUCAUAAUAAAUAUUGG
rnacentral:lncRNA from 1 species